rnacentral:rRNA from 1 species
GCAAGUCUGGUGCCAGCAGCCGCGGUAAUUCCAGCUCCAAUAGCGUAUAUUAAAGUUGUUGCAGUUAAAAAGCUCGUAGUUGAAUUUCGGGAUCAAUAUUUCGGUCAUGCCGUUGGUAUGCACUGUUAUCAUUGAUUUCUCACCUUCUAAAGAACCAUAAUGCCAUUAAUUUGGUGUUACGGGGAAUUAGGACUGUUACCUUGAAAAAAUUAGAGUGUUUAAAGCAGGCUCACGCUUGAAUACAUUAGCAUGGAAUAAUGAAAUAGGACAUCCGAUUCUAUUUUGUUGGUUUCUAGGAUCGAUGUAAUGAUUAAUAGGGAUAGUUGGGGGCAUUAGUAUUCAAUUGUCAGAGGUGAAAUUCUUGGAUCUAUUGAAGACUAACUACUGCGAAAGCAUUUGCCAAGGAUGUUUUCAUUAAUCAAGAACGAAAGUUAGGGGAUCGAAGACGAUCAGAUACCGUCGUAGUCUUAACCAUAAACUAUGCCGACUAGGGAUCGGAUGAUGUUAAUUUUUUAAUGACUCAUUCGGCGCCUUACGGGAAAC